rnacentral:rRNA from 1 species
CGUUUGCACCAGAAGUCGCCAAGCUAACCGCAAGGAGGCAGGCGCCCAAGGUGUGUGCGAUGAUUGGGGUGAAGUCGUAACAAGGUAGCCGUAGGUGAACCUGCAGAAGGAUCA